rnacentral:lncRNA from 1 species
GCAAAUCAACGAAACCAUCCUCUUCAACGACACCAAGCUAGAUCUAGAAAUCGAGUACACUAAGAUCCAAUGCCAAACAGACUGAUCACUGAUUAUCGAUAAUCACAAUUCUAAAAAUGGAUUUGUAGCUCAAACAAUGUUGAGAACAAAGCAUAUACCUCCGGAGACGAAGAGAGGCUGAGAAUUGUGAAAAUGAACACCACGAACAGGUCCUUCGUGCUCGUCGAAUCGAUCGAUCAGAGUACCCAUACGGUAAUCCCAGAGCUGGAUCACGCCACUGUGCAAACUGGCGAGGAUCCAUGGCCGUUUGGGGUGGAAGGUGAGGCCCUUGACUCUGUUACUCUUCGUCUCGAACUUCGUCAACAUGAUAUUUUUUUUCCAGAUCACGAAACGGAAACAGCUCUACACAAACCAGAUCAGAGAGAACGAAAGGAGAAACGAGUCAUUUUCAUAAAAUUGAAAUCGCAAACGGAUCUGGAACGCACCAGAUAGUGAGAUAGAGAUUCACCUCGGAUCGGAUCGGAUCGGAUCGGAUCAGGUCAAGGAGAGCUUCACGGUGAGGAGCAGUAGCAUUACCAGAGAGGCGUGGAUGCGAGAGGAAGAGAAACACACGAGGAUGCAAAUCGAUGGAGAAGGAGAAGAAAGUGAUCCAGUUUCUCGUCGAGUAGAUCUCGCUUCUUAAUUGGAAAGGAAUUUAAUUUUAAUUUAUUUAUGUUUUUUUUAUUCCAAGAAAAUAAAAUAUUAAAUGGGCCUAAUAUCAUUAAAAUAAAUUGGAUAUUUAUCAUAUGGGCCCUUGUUGGAUCAGGCCCAGCUCUAGAUACUUGGGACAUAAUUUGUCUCUUGUUGUCGUAAUCAGGUGGCGAAACGUAUCCCUCUGCUUCUCUCUCCUCCGUCGUCGACCUCUGAUUCCGGUGUUCUCCGUGAGCUCUCUUUUGAACCACAUUGUGUGUGAUAGUCCAACCACAUUUUCACUUGUAGUCAAAAUCGUUGGGGUCGCAAAAGGAUUGGUUUUGAUAUGUGGACUCUCUUUUGAAGUUCCUUGGAUCAAAAAAGGUUGUUUUGAUACUAAAUAAUUUAUAAAGUUUUUUUUUUUUUUUGAAAAGAUAUAGGCUUCCGGAAAAAUACCAUUCAUACGCCAGAGCUUUACUUGGCGGUCAUCUGCACCAGAGACAAUGAGAGGAAGCGUGGGAUGAAACGAAGCCCAGUUUACUCCUCUAUCAUGACCUUCGAGGACGUACUUAACUAUAGCGUCAACACCACCAAAAAGAUCAGAGUUCAUCUGAGUAAACCGCAUGAGAUCAUCAGCAGGAGAUACACUCUUCUUCUUAAGAGAACCAAUAUCCCAGACACGGACAGUCUGAUCCAAAGAUGCCGACACGACAAGGUCUUCCUUAGGAUGGAAAGAAGCACACAUAACGUAAUGAUUGUGGCCGGUCAACACAGAGAUACAAGUCCGCGACUGCCAGUUCCAAAUGCGGAUGGUCUGAUCGUCACUAGCACUCACAAUCCACGGGUUCUCGUGGUGAAACUGGACAGUGCGGAUGUAAUCGAGAUGGCCGAGGAGAGUGAAUAGGCACCUGUGCGUUUUGUGGUUCCAAACUUUAAUCUUGUAAUCGUCUCCUGCAAAAACACAAUAUGUCAAUGAGUAACGUUCUGAAAGAGUAUAACGAAGACAAUUGCAUUUACAAGUAAUAUAGAUCUGAUUUCAGCUGACUCAGUCCAAUGAUCCAAAAGAGCAUAUGUUAUACAACAAAUUAAACUUAGUAUAAGCAUUUAUCAAUACGACUACAUUGGUUGGGGGCAAAUCAACGAAACCAUCCUCUUCAACGACACCAAGCUAGAUCUAGAAAUCGAGUACACUAAGAUCCAAUGCCAAACAGACUGAUCACUGAUUAUCGAUAAUCACAAUUCUAAAAAUGGAUUUGUAGCUCAAACAAUGUUGAGAACAAAGCAUAUACCUCCGGAGACGAAGAGAGGCUGAGAAUUGUGAAAAUGAACACCACGAACAGGUCCUUCGUGCUCGUCGAAUCGAUCGAUCAGAGUACCCAUACGGUAAUCCCAGAGCUGGAUCACGCCACUGUGCAAACUGGCGAGGAUCCAUGGCCGUUUGGGGUGGAAGGUGAGGCCCUUGACUCUGUUACUCUUCGUCUCGAACUUCGUCAACAUGAUAUUUUUUUUCCAGAUCACGAAACGGAAACAGCUCUACACAAACCAGAUCAGAGAGAACGAAAGGAGAAACGAGUCAUUUUCAUAAAAUUGAAAUCGCAAACGGAUCUGGAACGCACCAGAUAGUGAGAUAGAGAUUCACCUCGGAUCGGAUCGGAUCGGAUCGGAUCAGGUCAAGGAGAGCUUCACGGUGAGGAGCAGUAGCAUUACCAGAGAGGCGUGGAUGCGAGAGGAAGAGAAACACACGAGGAUGCAAAUCGAUGGAGAAGGAGAAGAAAGUGAUCCAGUUUCUCGUCGAGUAG